CAGGGCCCCUGCAGAAGGCAGCUCUGUGCCCCAUCUCUGCACAUUGGAUGAUUUACAGACCAAAGCUACAUUUUCCUGUUAACAAGAUCAUGUGUGAAAGAGAAGAGAGAGAAAAGAAAAAAAAUCAUGCCAGUAGCAACAAUCUCCUCAACGGUUCAAGUUCAAGAGCAAACAUUUCAAGCAUUUUUAAACUGGUUGAGAAUUGCUCCAGAUUUUCUUUGGCAGUCUUCACCUGGAAGAAAUGCAGUGGGGAAUUUGCACACUUUGCCUGAAGUGAGCCUGCGAGGAGCGGGGAGGAGGUUUGCGAGGAGCACAGAUGUCAACAUUUGUGUAUGUGAAAUGUCUCUCUGUUCAAUACUGAUCCUGACCUCUUUUUUUUUACUGAAAAUAUACCACACAAAAAAAAGAAA